CAGAAGGCUAACCACCCCCCCCUCGGCGGCCACGGCCUCCGCCCGUGGCCCACAAUCCCCCGGCGCGGCGCGGGGGCGUGCUUCCGGUGGCGGGGCUCGGAGCCCUUCACCUUUCCUGCGCCGGGAACGGUCCCGGCGACGCUCCGCCCUCUGCAGAUUAAUAGUUCUUCCCAUCGCCUCGUCGGAAGAAUAAUGCACUAAAAAAAUUCCGGAUUCUACAGAUCUUCUAGGCCAAAGUUCUAAAUACUUCUACACUCCUCCUACAAACCAUUUGCAUUGGCCUAAGAACCACAUAAUCACGGUUACUCCAGCAACAGCCCCACUUGUAAGUACCUGCGUGUCAGAACAGGGUCCAAGAAUGGAGCUGUGGGAGAACUCGGAGUGUUUGUGAGAAAACGUCAAGAAAACAGGAGUCUGUCGCCUUAGUUCUUCAAACCAUGGAACUGUUGUUGCAAUUGUUUUCAUUCUCCUCCCGGGUGUAGCAGACGGGAGUGCGUUUACUUCCGAUUAUUCACCACAAGUGGCUAUUGUUAUUUGUAUAUAUGCCUCUAUGGAAAAACAGGUUUUUGCUACGUGCAGCUUGCGUUUGUACACUUUACUCAUGUGAUUCUUCCAACCCUCAGAGUAUAAAUUGUCUGAUGCUCUGAAUGAAGUUGGCUAUUGCAUGAGA